CCUACGGGUGGCUGCAGUGGGGCAUAUUUGGCAAUGGGCGCAAGCCUGACCCAGCAACGCCGCGUGAAGGAAGAAGGCUUUCGGGUUGUACACUUCUUUUCUGAGGGACGAAGAACGUGACGGUACCUCAGGAAUAAGCAACGGCUAACUACGUGCCAGCAGCCGCUGUAAUACGUAGGUGGCAAGCGUUAUCCGGAUUUAUUGGGUGUAAAGGGCGUGUAGGCGGGAAAGCAAGUCCGAUGUGAAAACUCAGGGCUCAACCCUGAGCCUGCAUUUGAAACUGUUUUUCUUGAGUGCUGGAGAGGCAAUCGGAAUUCCGUGUGUAGCGGUGAAAGGCGUAGAUAUACGGAGGAACACCAGUGGCGAAGGCGGAUUGCUGGACAGUAACUGACGCUGAGGCGCGAAAGCGUGGGGAGCAAACAGGAUUAGAUACCCGAGUAGUC
rnacentral:rRNA from 1 species